GAUGAACGCUGGCGGCGUGCCUAAUACAUGCAAGUCGAGCGAACAGACGGGGAGCUUGCUCCUCUGAUGUUAGCGGCGGACGGGUGGGUAACACGUGGAUAACCUACCUAUAUUACUGGGGUAACUUCGGGAAACCGGAUCUAAUACCGGAUAACAUGUUGAACCGCUUGAUUCAACAGUGAAAGACGCUCUUGCUGUCACUUAUAGAUGGAUCCGCGCUGAUUUGUCUAGUUGGUAAGGUAACGGCUUACCAAGGCACCGAUGCUUAGCCGACCUGAAAGAGGGAUAGGCCCAACGGGAAUGAGACAACGGCCCGGAUCCCAAGGGAAGGCAGCGGGGGGAAUUCUUCAGAAUGGGGCGAAAGCUGGACGAACCAACGCGGCGUGGGUGAAGAAGGCCUUCGGAUCGUAAAACCCUGUGAUUGGGGAAAAACAAACGUGUAAGUAACGACGCAGGUCUGGACGGAACCUAAGAAGAAAGACACGCCUAACUACGG
rnacentral:rRNA from 1 species